UUUGGUCUUGUUCCAAGGAGGAAUUCUGAUGGUUAGUCAUGAUGAGCAUCUAAUAUCUAGAAGCGUGGAUGAGCUCUGGGUGAUUUCUCAAGGCAAGGUGGCGCCUUUCCAUGGGAAUUUCCAGGAUCAUAAGAAGAUACUUCAGUCCUCAUUGAAUCAGAUACCAUGGUGAUCUGUAUUGGCAAAAUCUCUUGGGAGGAUCACGUGCGAAUGUUGCUGAGGUCAAUAUUCGAAAUAAGAAGCUUUCUUUCUUCUGGUUAUUGUAUGGAUAUUUGACGUGUUACCCUCUGUGGCA